CAGGCCUAACACAUGCAAGUCGAACGAGUGCCUUCGGGUGCUAGUGGCGCACGGGUGCGUAACGCGUGGGAAUCUGCCCUGGGGUUCGGGAUAACCGUUGGAAACGACGGCUAAUACCGGAUGAUGAUGAGAAUCCAAAGAUUUAUCGCCCUGGGAUGAGCCCGCGUCGGAUUAGCUAGUUGGUGGGGUAAAGGCCUACCAAGGCGACGAUCCGUAGCUGGUCUGAGAGGAUGAUCAGCCACACUGGGACUGAGACACGGCCCAGACUCCUACGGGAGGCAGCAGUGGGGAAUAUUGGACAAUGGGCGAAAGCCUGAUCCAGCAAUGCCGCGUGAGUGAUGAAGGCCUUAGGGUUGUAAAGCUCUUUUAUCCGGGACGAUAAUGACGGUACCGGAGGAAUAAGCCCCGGCUAACUUCGUGCCAGCAGCCGCGGUAAU
rnacentral:rRNA from 1 species